rnacentral:rRNA from 1 species
UACCCGCUGAACUUAAGCAUAUCAAUAAGCGGAGGAAAAGAAACUAACAAGGAUUCCCCUAGUAACUGCGAGUGAAGCGGGAAAAGCUCAAAUUUAAAAUCUGGUAGCCUUCGGUUGCCCGAGUUGUAGUCUGGAGAAGCGUUUUCCGCGCUGGACCGUGUACAAGUCUCUUGGAACAGAGCGUCAUAGAGGGUGAGAAUCCCGUCUUUGACACGGACUACCAGUGCUUUGUGAUGCGCUCUCAAAGAGUCGAGUUGUUUGGGAAUGCAGCUCAAAAUGGGUGGUAAAUUCCAUCUAAAGCUAAAUAUUGGCGAGAGACCGAUAGCGAACAAGUACCGUGAGGGAAAGAUGAAAAGCACUUUGGAAAGAGAGUUAAACAGUACGUGAAAUUGCUGAAAGGGAAACGCUUGAAGUCAGUCGCGUCUUCUAGUACUCAGCCUUCCUUUUGGUUGGUGCAUUUACUAGUCGACGGGCCAGCAUCAGUUUUGGCUGCGGGAUAAAGGUCAGAGGAAUGUGGCACCUUCGGGUGUGUUAUAGCCUCUGGUCAUAUACCGUGGCUGGGACUGAGGAUCUCAGCAUGCCUUUAUGGCGGGGGUUCGCCCACCUUCAUGCUUAGGAUGCUGGCGUAAUGGCUUUAAACGACCCGUCUUGAAACACGGACCAAGGAGUCUAACAUGCCUGCGAGUGUUUGGGUGGAAAACCCGAGCGCGUAAUGAAAGUGAUAGUUGGGAUCUCUGUCGUGGAGAGCACCGACGCCCGGACCAGACCUUCUGUGACGGAUCCGCCGGUAAGAAGGCAAA